AAUCAUAUUAAUGAAAAAAAAACAAAUUUUGCCAGUGAUCGAUCCUUGUGUUAGAGAUUUAAGGAUCACUAAGGAUCGAGGUUGUGUCGACACCUGAUUGGCUAGAGAGAAAAAUAUAUAUUUUUUUUUUGUUUCCCUCAUUCUCUCUCGCGACUGGUCCAACGACAAUCGACUGGUCCAACACCUUUGUCCGUCGUGAUCACCAUCUCCACCGCCUGUGCAACCAACAACGAUUCAAGUGGCGAAAUAAUAGUCUGUGGUUCAAUGAUGUUUCAAUCAGUUUUCCUUGAACAAGUUGCAGAACUUGGCUGGACAACACUCAGAUGUCCUUGAGAACUUGACUCCGACAGUCAGGAAGCGUGUCGAGGUUCUAAGAGAGAUUCAAGUGAGUAAAUUUUCAUCUUUUAGAUGAUAUUGGAACUAGCCUUUGAUUUUGUGAUCUUUGAUUUUGUAUUUUGUUUAGACGGCUAUUGUUGAGUUUUGAUGAUAUUUGGUGGAGUAAACAAUUGUUUGAAUCUUUUUUUUCUUAUAAUUAAACCUUUGUAAAACCAA